rnacentral:rRNA from 1 species
AUUGAACGCUGGCGGCAUGCCUUACACAUGCAAGUCGAACGGCAGCGGGGGAGAAGCUUGCUUUUCCUGCCGGCGAGUGGCGAACGGGUGAGUAAUACAUCGGAACGUGCCCUGUAGUGGGGGAUAACUAGUCGAAAGAUUAGCUAAUACCGCAUACGACCUGAGGGUGAAAGUGGGGGACCGCAAGGCCUCAUGCUAUAGGAGCGGCCGAUGUCUGAUUAGCUAGUUGGUGGGGUAAAGGCCUACCAAGGCGACGAUCAGUAGCUGGUCUGAGAGGACACUCAGCCACCCUGGGACUGAGACACGGCCCAGACUCCUACGGGAGGCAGCAGUGGGGAAUGUUGGACAAUGGGCGAAAGCCUGAUCCAGCAAUGCCGCGUGUGUGAAGAAGGCCUUCGGGUUGUAAAGCACUUUUGUCCGGAAAGAAAUGGCUCUGGUUAAUACCUGGGGUCGAUGACGGUACCGGAAGAAUAAGGACCGGCUAACUACGUGCCAGCAGCCGCCGUAA